GACGAACGCUGGCGGCGUGCUUAACACAUGCAAGUCGAACGGAAAGGCCCUGCUUUUGUGGGGUGCUCGAGUGGCGAACGGGUGAGUAACACGUGAGUAACCUGCCCUUGACUUUGGGAUAACUUCAGGAAACUGGGGCUAAUACCGGAUAGGAGCUCCUGCUGCAUGGUGGGGGUUGGAAAGUUUCGGCGGUUGGGGAUGGACUCGCGGCUUAUCAGCUUGUUGGUGGGGUAGUGGCUUACCAAGGCUUUGACGGGUAGCCGGCCUGAGAGGGUGACCGGCCACAUUGGGACUGAGAUACGGCCCAGACUCCUACGGGAGGCAGCAGUGGGGAAUAUUGCACAAUGGGCGGAAGCCUGAUGCAGCAACGCCGCGUGCGGGAUGACGGCCUUCGGGUUGUAAACCGCUUUCGCCUGUGACGAAGCGUGAGUGACGGUAAUGGGUAAAGAAGCACCGGCUAACUACGUGCCAGCAGCCGCGGUGAUACGUAGGGUGCGAGCGUUGUCCGGAUUUAUUGGGCGUAAAGGGCUCGUAGGUGGUUGAUCGCGUCGGAAGUGUAGUCUUGGGGCUUAACCCUGAGCGUGCUUUCGAUACGGGUUGACUUGAGGAAGGUAGGGGAGAAUGGAACUCCUGGUGGAGCGGUGGAAUGCGCAGAUAUCAGGAGGAACACCAGUGGCGAAGGCGGUUCUCUGGGCCUUUCCUGACGCUGAGGAGCGAAAGCGUGGGGAGCGAACAGGCUUAGAUACCCUGGUAGUCCACGCUGUAAACGGUGGGUACUAGGUGUGGGGUCCAUUCCACGGGUUCCGUGCCGUAGCUAACGCUUUAAGUACCCCGCCUGGGGAGUACGGCCGCAAGGCUAAAACUCAAAGGAAUUGACGGGGCCCCGCACAAGCGGCGGAGCAUGCGGAUUAAUUCGAUGCAACGCGUAGAACCUUACCUGGGUUUGACAUGGAUCGGGAGCGCUCAGAGAUGGGUGUGCCUCUUUUGGGGUCGGUUCACAGGUGGUGCAUGGCUGUCGUCAGCUCGUGUCGUGAGAUGUUGGGUUAAGUCCCGCAACGAGCGCAACCCUUGUUCACUGUUGCCAGCACGUUAUGGUGGGGACUCAGUGGAGACCGCCGGGGUCAACUCGGAGGAAGGUGGGGAUGACGUCAAGUCAUCAUGCCCCUUAUGUCCAGGGCUUCACGCAUGCUACAAUGGCUGGUACAGAGAGUGGCGAGCCUGUGAGGGUGAGCGAAUCUCGGAAAGCCGGUCUCAGUUCGGAUUGGGGUCUGCAACUCGACCUCAUGAAGUCGGAGUCGCUAGUAAUCGCAGAUCAGCAACGCUGCGGUGAAUACGUUCCCGGG
rnacentral:rRNA from 1 species